UUGCUCUUGAUGUGGCCAAAGUAAGUUUUUAACCAUAUUAUUUUUCAAAUUAUUCAAUCCGAAAAAGGAGCAACGCGAUUUGGAAAGGAGGAGACAGAAUGUGAUGGACGCCACGAAGAUAACGCUCCAAUUUGACGUGGAGACAUUAGCCAAAGAGCAUCGUAAUACAAAUAGCGACAUUAAAGAACUGCGUGACAUAACAUCGUUGGCCUUUUCAGACUUCUACACCAUGCUCUUACUCUGUGUUACGUGGAACAUUGCCGGAGGGAUUUUUCUCAUCUGGAUCCGCUCUUGGUCGGCGCUUCUCGGCACGCUCGUCGGUUCCGCUCUUUCCUUCGUGCUUUGGGGCUUUCUCUCUCUUGUUAUGAGCCACGCUGUUUGGAUGUACACCUUCAAUAGCCUUUGGUUUAUUACGGGCAUCACCUUCGCAUUCUAUAUUGUUCUAGGUUUGUUUGUACUUCUCUUCGGUUGUUGCACACCUCCUGAAAAUCAAGAAGAGCAAAAC